CAGUAGCCGCGGGAAUACGAAGGGUGCAAGCGUUAAUCGUAAUUACUGGGCGUAAAGCGUGCGUAGGCGGUUUGUUAAGUCUGUUGUGAAAUCCCCGGGCUCAACCUGGGAAUGGCAAUGGAUACUGGCAAGCUAGAGUGUGUCAGAGGAUGGUGGAAUUCCCGGUGUAGCGGUGAAAUGCGUAGAGAUCGGGAGGAACAUCAGUGGCGAAGGCGGCCAUCUGGGACAACACUGACGCUGAGGCACGAAAGCGUGGGGAGCAAACAGGAUUAGAUACCCCCGUAGUCCCUGUCUCUGAUAC
rnacentral:rRNA from 1 species